AGUGAACGCUGGCGGUAGGCCUAACACAUGCAAGUCGAACGGCAGCACAGUAAGAGCUUGCUCUUACGGGUGGCGAGUGGCGGACGGGUGAGGAAUACAUCGGAAUCUACUUUUUCGUGGGGGAUAACGUAGGGAAACUUACGCUAAUACCGCAUACGACCUACGGGUGAAAGCAGGGGAUCUUCGGACCUUGCGCGAUUGAAUGAGCCGAUGUCGGAUUAGCUAGUUGGCGGGGUAAAGGCCCACCAAGGCGACGAUCCGUAGCUGGUCUGAGAGGAUGAUCAGCCACACUGGAACUGAGACACGGUCCAGACUCCUACGGGAGGCAGCAGUGGGGAAUAUUGGACAAUGGGCGCAAGCCUGAUCAAGCCAUACCGCGUGGUGAAGAAGGCCUUCGGGUUGUAAAGCCCUUUUGUUGGGAAAGAAAAGCAGCAGGUUAAUACCCCGCUGUUCUGACGGUACCCAAAGAAUAAGCACCGGCUAACUUCGUG
rnacentral:rRNA from 1 species